rnacentral:tRNA from 1 species
GUAAGUGGUUGAUGUCGGCAACAGUUCUAGACUGAAGUGAGUUUCAGAAGACAUUGAAAACAUGCGCUUCAUCGCGGAUUGAAAAUCCGCGUGUCACUGGUUCGAUUCCGGUCCUGGGCACCA